CAGAAAAUAGUUUAUUAAAAUAAUAGUUUUGGGUACUGUAGAUAGGGUAGUAUCUUUUUCUGG
rnacentral:tRNA from 1 species